GGUGAGAUGGCCGAGUUGGUUAUGGCGCCAGGUUAAGGUUACCUUAACACUUUACAUCCUGGUACGGAAACGUGCGUGGGUUCAAGUCCCACUCUCAUCA